GGUGCGGUGGCUCACACCUCUAAUCCCAGCACUUUGGGAGGCUGAGGCAGGUGAUCACCUGAGGUCAGGAGUUCGAGACCAGCCUGACCAACAUGGCGAAACCCCGUCUCUACUAAAAAUACAAAAGUUAGCCGGGUGUGGUGGUAUGUGCCUGUAAUUCCAGCUACUCAGGAGGCUGAGGCAGGAGAAUCGCUUGAACAGGGAGGUGGAGGUUGCAGUAAGCUGAGGUUGCAGUGAGCCGAGAUUGCACCACUGCACUCCAGCCUGGGCGACUGAGCGAGACCCCGUCUCAAAUAAAUAAAUAAAUAAAUAAAGUGGAGAAGUUAGUGGUUUCUGGUGUAUUCAGAGUUGUGUAACCAUCACCACUAUUAAUUAUAGAACAUACUUACCACCCUAGAAAGAAAUCCCAUACCCAUUAGCAGUCACUCUCCAUUCUCCCCAUUCCCCAGUCCCUGAUGACACAAAUCUACCUUCCAUCUCUAUGGAUUUGCUUAUUCUGGACAUUGUAUUGUGAUGGAUUUUCUGUCUGCACUUGAGCUUCUCUCUGGGUAAGCCUGGCCAUCCUGCUUCAGUAUCUCAGCCAGUCCUGGGAACUGCACGUGGCUUUAAGGUCAUCUCAUGAGGCAAUGUGGCAUGGGUUUGGAGGGAACAAGGUGCUUUCUCAAAGCCAGGGGUGUCUCCCUUUUCCAGGUGGGAUCUAGUUUUUGGUAUCUUGACAAUAAAUAGGCUGAAAGCUUGGGAUAUCAAAAGACUCAGGGCAAUCAGAAAGGGUUACUCUACUACCCCGUGAUCCACCAAAGCCAUGAUUUACAGGUAUUACCAUGCCUGUAAUCAUCUAUCAGACUCUGAGACUUCUUCCAUCGCAGAUCUCCAAGCACUCAUACUUCUUUUGCGGGGAGGGACAUAGGUUUUCUGCUGGAACCAGGCAUCUGCUGUGAAAAGCGCAGGAAUCCUGGGGAGAUCUCGUGGCUGGCUGCAGUGAGACCCAGGUGUAGCUGAUUUCCUCUUCUGAGCAGGUCCACUGAGGGGGCAUUCUGUGGCUUUUGAAAUGACAGUGGCUGUCAUGGAGUUUGAACAGAUUUCUCAAUGGAACCUGUCUAGUGUUUCAUGUUCCAUUUGCAGCAAGGAUGUGAAAUUUACUUUUCCAAGAAAGAUAUACACAGAACUUGAUGUGGCUUACUUGAGGAUAAUAGUUAAUAGUCAUUUUUUUUCCCAGUUAUUUGUUUUUGUUUCUUAUUUCAGUCUUUUUCUAAAGAGAAGAAAAAAGCCUGAAAUGUGGAGAAUGGUAAGGGGCUUCAGGCUUGUGCAGGCGAAUCUAAGCAGGGGUCUCCUGGACCCCUGGCUGCAUGGGCACUGCCUCCUCCAAGCUCCCUUCUGAGCAACCCACUGGCAGUGGCUCCUCAUGCGUCCUGGCUGCCUCAGAAGUCAGAUGUUCCUGUUGGCCUCUCACAGACCCAUCCUUCCCUGGGGCAUCAACUGAGGAACAUCCUCUUCCCAAUGCCUCCCUACAACCCACCUGUGCCUCCUGAAGCCCCUCCUGUGUGCACACUCACUCUCUCUCAUUCUCUCCCUCAAGGAGUUAACAGAUCUGAGCUUCCAUAUUCUCAUACUCAGGCCUGGCCCCUUCUUCCCCUUUUCCCUCCACAGUCCAUCCUCCACUCAGCAGCCAGAUGCUGUACCUCCUGGGAUUCCGUUUCACCAAGAAUGAAAUUUAAAGUCCCUGGCUAGCUGGCUCUCCGACUCCCACACUUCCCUCUCACACACUGGGUCCUGGCCACACUGGCCUCCUCUCUGUUCCUCAAACACCCCACUGCUGGGCAUACAUUUACUGUCCCCUCUCUAGAAUGAUCUUUCUGGGUUAUCUGUGGGCCUCACUCACUUCAUUCAGGUUCUGUGCAAAUGUUUUCUUUAGGUGAAGCCUUCUGGAUAACCCUUUAGAAUACAGCAUGUCCCAGUCUCUCUCUUUUCUCUUAACUAGUUUUCUUUUUCUUCAUAGCACCUACCACCACUCAACAUACUCUAUAACAUAACUCCAUAAUGUGUUCCAUAACACAAGGGCAACUGUCAGCCCUUCUAGAAUGUGAGCUCUAGGCUCUUGGAAUAAACCUGAUUUAUUUUUUCACUGCUGUGUCCUUAUUACCUAGAACGGAAUAGGUGUUCAAAAAGUAUAUGCUGGAUGGGCAAAUGAAUAAACAUGUCUGAAUCUGUCUGAAUAAACAUGCU
rnacentral:lncRNA from 1 species